rnacentral:lncRNA from 1 species
GGCGUAUUUGUUAGUGCGAAACCAGUUUUAGUUUGUUAAACUUUCCAUUUGUUAAUGAUAACCAGUUUGAAACUAGUUUCGAACCUACACUGGUUUGCCGUGUGUUAUUCUGAAACGCGAACUGGUUCCAGAAACUAAUCAAACCAUGUCCAAUGGUGGUUUGUGGUUUCGGUUUAGGAUUUAAAAUGGCGGCAAUGUUGAUGCAGUGUAGUGGUCGCGAAAAAUUUUAUGCAGAUUCUAUGGGCAAAUUGAUUUUUUUAGUCGAUUUUCAAUACUAAUGUACUAGUAUAACCUGUUUGUUUUUGGUGUUUUUUUUUAUUUCAGAUAGUUUGGGGCGAGUUGUCAGACCUGCAUUCAGUGGGGUUUAAACCCUUUUCGUUAAUAAGUGAGUUG